rnacentral:rRNA from 1 species
UACGGAGGGUGCAAGCGUUAUCCGGAUUCACUGGGUUUAAAGGGUGCGUAGGUGGGAAUGUAAGUCAGUGGUGAAAUCUCCGUGCUUAACAUGGAAACUGCCAUUGAUACUAUGUUUCUUGAAUCUUCCGGAGGUCAGCGGAAUAUGUCAUGUAGCGGUGAAAUGCUUAGAUAUGACAUAGAACACCAAUUGCGAAGGCAGCUGACUACAGGGGCAUUGACACUGAGGCACGAAAGCGUGGGGAGUCAAACAGGA